UUUUGUCUAAAAAGAAGGAGAUGCCAUGCCAUGGAGCGAUAUGUAAUUGGAUAUGGGAUCAAUUAGCAAUUGCAUCUGGAUUUAUCUUUUUAAUUCUUCCUUCAUUGCAAUUUGCUGUUGUGUACUUUGCUUUUGGAGCUGCCAGAGGAGGUCAGUGACCCAUCAUUUUAAUAGGAAAAUGUUUAUGAAUAAAAACAGUAGUAACUAUGUUAUUGUAUGUUCAGAGAACAAUCAAUUCAUUGACAAUUAACCUAGACAAACAGAGUUACAAAACAGGUGUUAUCUAUCAGUAAAUCUUACAUAAAUCUUAUUCUUUUAGGGUAUUAUGUGUCCAUAGCUGUCCCAGUUUUCUAUUUUCUCUCAUUUUCCUGUUUGUUUAAACUACAGGGAGGGAAAAGCUGUAAGUAUGUGAUAAAUUAUUUUGUCUGUAGUUAUGAUUAUUUUCAUGUUCAUAUUCAGUCAUCUCAUUUAUAAUGAUUCAACAUCUUUUUUCAGGUUUAGAAUUACUCAAUAAAACAGCAUGGAUAAUCUACAUGUUUAUCAUGAAUACUGUAAUGGUUAUUUUCUAUAUCACAAUAGUGACAAUUAAAAGAGGUAUGAUUAUAUUUCUAAUAAAGGAAAUUAUUAAAACUUCUUUAUCUAGUAUUACUGAACUAAAGCUCCAUAUAUGUUUGACUAAAUUACCUUUAGUGAAUCUUUAUGUAAUAAAAACACAUUUUUUGUACAGAUGGUGCAGGAUGGAUCUGCAUGGCUAUAUUUCACCAAGCCCUAUGGAUGAUCGCAAUUAUUUUAUUCAUUGCCAGUGGGAAAACAGGAAAUGGGGGGAAAAAACAACCUUGAAUUCCACAUGUGAUUUUACAGAAAAUCACAUGCAUUUAGAUUUAGAUCUAACCAUCACCUUUAAAAAGAUGUUGUAUGUGUUUGGAUCAGUUGGUGUUGUUGUACUGAACUCUGGUACACUGAUGACUGAACUGAUACUGAAAACAGGUAAAGAGUAAAAACACUUGAACAUCAUAGACCAGGGGUUGGCAACCUUUUGUAAAAGUUUAUUAAAGAUUAAUUUCUUAAUUUCCACCAAAUAAACCAGUUUUUUGUUGCUGUUUUGUAACCAAAUUGCAAAAUUUUACAUUUUUAAAUAUUCAAAACUUUUCAAAAUCAUACAAAUGUGUUUAUUUUCUGGUUUAAAUGGCAAUAAAUUCACCCUUUUGACGUCUUUAUCUCUAUCGCUCAGAUUUCACCUCUAUAGGUUACCGAUCAUUAUAUGUUAUGGAUGCAUUGACAGCACAAAACCUUCAAAAGAACUUGUUGUUGCUGUUGUUGUUUAUGUGUGAUUGUGUAAUGGCUCUCAUCCUCAGUGAAUGGCGAGCGUGCAGUGGGGGAUCUGAGAGUCAUCGUCUUUCCCUCUGAAAGCCUCUUUGCUUUUUCUCUGUUGAUUUUACUCAUGUUUGGACCCUGUAAGUACAACUGAUGCUUUUUUCUUGGUUUCAUUACAAAUUCUAACCUGAUUAAUGAAAUUUACAUCAACAUAUUUACAAGAAAACAUUUUAACUCUUAUUGGAUUACCAUGAAUUGAAUAUGGCUAAAUAUCUGACUACUGAUGAUCUAUUUUUCUUGACCAAGCAGUUUAUAGAAGUGAUAUGAAGAGUCUAUAUUCUGAUGAGGAUUCAUGCAUGUCUCACGUUAGGAUGGAUGUUGGUUUUUGAUUAACAGUGUGUGUUUCGUAAUUCAAACACACUCGGUCAUCAAUUUCAUUACUGAGAGCUGCUCAGGUUACAUGAAGGAUGAACAGCAAUAACAAACUGAAUUGACUAUUACCAAUGAUGAUGCAUAUUCAAUUUAUUUAUUUUAUUUAACAAUUUCAACAUGAUAAUCACUAAAUGAGAUCGAUGAGUGAUUAGUGAAAGCUGAGUGUCAAGUCCAUGAAUCAGCUUUAGUGCAUCUGUGCUUUGAGACUUUACUUAAAUAUCCUUCUCACACUGCUCUUAACACAGGGAUUUCAGACAUGAAGUGUCUGCAGUGUUUUCAGGUUAGUAUCACUGCACUGAAAUGUACUUUAUAUUUAAUAUACACAGCUUGUUUCCUAAUCUAGCUUUCAAUAAGCCUGCUAUUGUAUAUUAUGAAUAUUCUUGACUUACAUGUACAUACAUCUUAUUCAGGAAGCAGCAAGGCCUCUUGACAUUCCAGUCACCAGAUCAGACCAGAACCAGGAUUCUCAGGUGAAUAUCUUUUAUAAGAUCAUAUUGAUAUCAGGUGUAUUCUUGUCCUACAAUUAAAGCUGCUUUUUUCAUGUAGAUAUAGUUUAAUUUAUUUUUAUAUCUCUUAUCCUGGACUUAGGAUUCAGCAAGAUCUGAAGAAACUCCAACCAAUGGAUUAAACCAGCAUCAGAAAACCACAGAAUCACAUGAAACAAUUCCUCUAGUGAAUAAAGAUAAGGAGGCUAAUAGGAGUGACAUGACAGAAACUGUUUCAGUGGUAUCUCAAACAUAAUCAUAAAUGAUAGAAAAAGGCAAGAUUUAUAUUUAACGGAACAUUUUUAUUGAUGGGUUGUCAAAAAAUGGACAAAACUACACUGAAAAAGCUGAUUCAUACUAGAAAUUAAUAUGCUCAUUUAAAACCCAUUUUGUCAGGCCUCAAACUUGGUAGCAAUGUGAUAUUAUUUUGGCCUAUUCAGUGCACCCAAUUAUUACAAGCAUCUGUCCAGCUAUGCAUUCUCUGACAUGAAGGUCAACUCUAAUUCUGGCUGAUUUAAGCCUAUCUGAAAAAAAUUAAAGCACUUUUCCAUAUGUUUUAUUUUUGUUCUAUUGCAUUUUUAAUUACGAAUGCUUGCAAUUAUUUUCUUGGUAAUUUUUUUUUAUUAUGACUCUUUACUUACCUUUUAUAUUUAAAAAAUUAUAUUUUAACCAUAAUAAAAAAAAAUGCUUGGAUAACUUGGUCGCUUAUUCAUGCAAAGCUGAAGGGGGCAUAAGAGUCUGGCAACAUCAGGGUGAACUAAACCCAUGAUGCUACAUUUCAGUUUUUUCUUCAGCGUUUUUGGCCAUGUUUUUAUAUGUACAGAAAAUGUCUUGUGUUCAGGAUGAGUAUUACCAUUACUUGCAGAUAAGAUCUGUAAGACCCAGAAGGAGUUAGUGGAGAAGAGGUAAUCCAAAGCCACGGUCAAAGCAGCUCAUGAGCAUUCAGGGUUCCUAACAGCCUUUACCAGCCCAAUACUGUCACGCUACGGUAUUGAAUGAACACGCACGAAGAUGAAGAUUAACAGUCUUCAAUAAUCCACACACAGGUAAAUUCCACACAAGGGAGGCUGAUAACACACAUAUACAUCAACAUUUAAGACCUGACAAACACUAACUGAACAGACAGGAACUUAAAUAAAAAGGGAAAUGAAGAUAAUUAACAAGACACACCUGAACAUAAUGACAUAAUCAGACAUGAGGGAAAACUAGGUUAGGAACACAUGAGGGAAGAAAACAAACUAAAAGUCCAUGUGGUGUGACAGCUAAAAGAUCUGCACAAGCCACUGGCCACCAAGUUAGUUUUGGGCCAGUUCAAUCAUGUGACAUGCAGAAAGUGAAUCUAAUUAAGUUUUAUAACAGUCAGUUUGUGUAGCUUUAAGAGAACAAAAAUACGAACAAACAUGGAGGAGAACAGACUCAGAGACUGGUUCAUCUGUAUCAAGAUGGUGAAAGUCGUGCAAAGAAACAGCAGCAGGAUUAUCGUGAUUGUGAAAAACCUGAACGUGUAUAUUUAGAGAGAAGAUUAAUUUUAUUA
rnacentral:lncRNA from 1 species